AGGGUUUGAAACACGUGCACUUGUACGGUUCUUUUGAUUUGGUAGUUCACCACUUCAAAGAGUAUUCUUAAGAACUAUAUUUCCAGCAGAAUUGAGCUUCAACGUCCUCAAUGACAAGACUUGGCAUCACCUGAAAGUCUGGUUUGUAGUUUAAAACAAAUAUUGUUCCCUCGUGCCAUGUACGGCAGCUGCUUCUUAUUAUAAACGUUCAUAUAGCCGUAGACAACAAAGUAGUUGUCUACAAAAUCGCAAUCUUUGACUCAAUCACAUGACAUUUUCCCAUGCACCACACAUGAUAUCUAGACUUUUAACUACAGCUUACCCAUGACUUACAGUAAUCAUAUCCUCGUAUGAUUCUUGUAACUUGCACUUGUUGAUGGUGUUUAAUUGAUGGCGUCCUUUUAGCAGGACCUACUUCUUUUGAAGGUUUAACUGUGGACACCGGUAUGUAUAUUUUCAUCCAUUCAUGGACCAGGUUGUUAGGGAGUAUUGAACAAGUUGCGUCUUACGAACAAUUUUUAAAACGUUUUGGGGAGCAGAUAAAAGUAGAGGAAUUCAACGUAAUGCUUUCUUGGUGUGUUUCUGUUCAUCAACUCUUUAAUACCACAUGUAGUUAUUAUGCAAGAACCGCUCCAACAACAACUUCAACAACUACGGCAACAGUAACCGUAGCAACAAUUGUGAAACAAUGAACAGGCAUACGGUGUUCGAAGAUCAGAUCAAUACGUGGAAAUAUUUGACAUUCUGCAGGGAAGGAUUUAAUCAUAUCAGGUAGAGCGUGCUCAUUGAGCUAUGGUUAUGGCUCAUGGUGUGACAUUGACAAAGUUUCUGAGUGGUCGAGCUAUGACAGCAAGGCACUAUAGCCUGCGGUCUUACUUAGCAAUUUCACAAUGAUGCUACUAUCUCAUCAUGCUCUAAUUAUAUUUCUAUUUUGUGAAUGCCUUUCCAAACCUAAAAAUGGAAUUCAUACGGAUACCCCCUCCCAUAUGAGCGCAGAUACAUGUACCUUUGGCGUUCAAUUGGCGUCGUGGCAGGCUAAGUCAUAAUUAUCAAAACGUGCAAAUAUAAUAAUAGAGCUCUGCAAACCAAAAUAUACAACUUUCAAUUUCCACAAGCAUUCUUUUUAAACUUUUAUCAUAAUAUUAUGCCGAGGAACAUUCGACCAGAAAAUUUUGCCAUUGUGUGCUUCAAUUGAUUU